rnacentral:rRNA from 1 species
UACGGAGGGGGCUAGCGUUGUUCGGAAUUACUGGGCGUAAAGCGCGCGUAGGCGGCUUUGUAAGUCAGGGGUGAAAUCCCGGGGCUCAACCCCGGAACUGCCCUUGAGACUGCAAGGCUAGAAUCCAGGAGAGGUGAGUGGAAUUCCGAGUGUAGAGGUGAAAUUCGUAGAUAUUCGGAAGAACACCAGUGGCGAAGGCGGCUCACUGGACUGGUAUUGACGCUGAGGUGCGAAAGCGUGGGGAGCAAACAGG